rnacentral:rRNA from 1 species
GACAGAGGGUGCGAACGUUUGUUCGGAAUUACUGGGCGUAAAGCGCGUGUAGGCGGCAGCGCAAGUCGGGCGUGAAAUCCCACGGCUCAACCGUGGAAGUGCACUCGAAACUGCGCAGCUAGAGUCCUGGAGAGGAAGGUGGAAUGCUUGGUGUAGAGGUGAAUUCGUAGAUAUCAAAGCGGAACACCGGUGGCGUAAGGCGGCCUUAC